CUACUGGCCGCAGCAGUGAGGAAUCUUGCGCAAUGGGGGCAACCCUGACGCAGCAACGCCGCGUGAGUGAAGAAGGCCUUCGGGUCGUAAAGCUCUGUCAGAUGGGAAGAAAGUUUCAUCGAUAAACAAUCGAUGGAAUUGACGGUACCGUCAAAGGAAGCACCGGCUAACUCCGUGCCAGCAGCCGCGGUAAUACGGAGGGUGCAAGCGUUGUUCGGAAUUACUGGGCGUAAAGCGCGUGUAGGCGGUUGGGUAAGUCAGAUGUGAAGUCCCUUGGCUCAACCAAGGAAGGGCAUUUGAAACUGCCCGGCUUGAGUACGGGAGGGGGAAGCGGAAUUCCCGGUGUAGAGGUGAAAUUCGUAGAUAUCGGGAGGAACACCAGUGGCGAAGGCGGCUUCCUGGACCGAUACUGACGCUGAGACGCGAAAGCGUGGGGAGCAAACAGGAUUAGAUACCCGCGUAGUC
rnacentral:rRNA from 1 species